CUUGCUUGUAGGCGUGCGUGCAGGAUCAGCCGCCCGUCUCCUUGUCUUCGGAACCCCAUUGUUGAUUCAGAUUCAGUUUGGAACCUUCAAUUCAUCUUGCAAAUUCAGUGCUUGUUUCCUCGUUCUUGCUAGUUCUUCGAUUGCUUGCAGGACGGGAGCCCUAGGGGCUGGUUGUCGCGCUCCACAAGAUCGUCACGGCUGUUGGACGUGGUGUAUCGGUUGCUAAGGCACAGUCUUGAGGGCUGUAGUUGGGCCGUGAACGUCAUCUCCAUCCACUAAUCGAGUUAUCCAGCGCCUCUCAUCGAAAGAUCAGGCCAAAAACCCUAGCGGGUUCGCAUCAGUUGGUAAUCAGAGCAAGGUUCUUCGGUGAGAGACUUCUAAUCCUUUGCUGUUUUUAAUUAAUUUCCUAUAGUCCAGAAAAGCCAAAAAAAUAUAGUAGAUUAGUUUUUCCAUAAUCCUAUUAAACCUUUGUGCCUUGGCUAGUACCGUUUUAGUUAGGGCUUGUUGAAUUUGCGUUGCUUCGGUUUGUGUCGAGUUGCUGGUCUUAGUGUCUAGUCCUUUAGAGUUUUGAGUUCUUGUCACCAUCUAUUCACAGCCGAGUAUUACCAUAUCUUAUCUCUGUCGAAUCUGUUGUGAAGUCCGAAUUGAACUGUGAUCCAAAAAGAAAGAUAACUCCAUACUUGUUUGGCCUUACUCUAGAGAGAGAGAGUGUGUGUGUGUAGCGAAUUGCUCUUUUGUAUUCCUUUGUUCAUAUAAUCAGUUUUUGAGGUUGCCCAAAAAAAAAGAAAAAAAAAAGAAAAGAGAAAAGAUUCAAAAGAAAAAAAAAGGGGCUGUUUUUCAUAUUGAUUUUAGGUUUCUUCCACCUUGUUUUCGGGGGUGUGCUGUGGUUUUCCUUUGUGUCCAGGCUCGCGUCUCUAGCACGGUCUAGCCUAGGACCAGCACAGUACCAUCGUCGAACGCUUAUUCAGCUCGCUUUUAUAACUAACGUGGUGCUAGUUCGUUCCUUGUUUCAGCCCACCUAUAGCUCCACAUACUCUACAGCUUGACAGGUCUUGUGCUGCAGCACCGAUACACUUCGUCCAUUGCUGUACACUUGUUGGCAGACGACCCCUCCUGUCAAGCAAGGUAAGAAUUGGUAAGAACUUGUGUUACAGGUUGAGUGUGAGCGACUUGCUGUAGCUACAUCCUAAUAGUUGUAGGGCUUUUAUUUCUUCACUUGCCUUUUUGUUGUCUUUGUCUUUGAACCAUGCCAGGGGCAGAUGAUGGUAACGAAACACCACUUACACCUCGCACUAAGGGCAUCAUACAACAUUUUGAAAGGAAAGUGAAGCUGCACACAGAGGGACUUGAUAACGACUUGCAGGUGACGAAUGAAAAGCUGGGGCAGUUGGAGGCUACGCAGAUUGCCACAAACAACAAGCUCACAAGUUUGGAGGAAUCCGUUGCUAGUGUGGACAAAAGCCUUGCUGCUCUCUGAGGCGAUUUGAUGCUUUCCACACCGAAGAUAAAGAGAAGCAUAAAGAAGAAAAGGAGGGAGAUCGAGAGCACGGUAGUCAUGAAGAUGACUACACUGGUGAUACUGAACAUGAUGAUCAAGACACUCGUGAUCGACGUCGCCUUCGUCACAACCGUAGAGGUAUGGGUGGCAACCGCCGACGCGAGGUACACAAUAAUGAUGAUGCUUUCAGUAAGAUUAAAUUUAAGAUACCCCCUUUUGAUGGUAAAUAUGACCCUGAUGCUUACAUCACUUGGGAGAUUGCUGUUGAUCAAAAGUUUGCAUGUCAUGAAUUUCCUGAGACUACACGUGUUAGGGCUGCUACUAGUGAGUUUACAGAUUUUGCUUCUGUUUGGUGGAUAGAAUAUGGAAAGAAAAAUCCUAAUAACUUACCUAGAACUUGGGAUGCGCUGAAAAGGGCCAUGAGAGCUAGAUUUGUUCCAUCUUACUAUGCGCGUGAUAUGAUAAAUAAGUUGCAGCGGUUAAGACAAGGUGCUAAAAGUGUAGAAGAAUAUUAUCAGGAAUUACAAACGGAAAUGUUGCGUUGUAACCUAGAGGAGGAUGAGGAACCGGCUAUGGCUAGAUUUUUGGGUGGGUUAAAUCGGGAAAUUCAGGACAUCCUCGCUUACAAAGAAUACAAUAAUGUAACCCGUUUGUUUCAUCUUGCUUGUAAAGCUGAAAGGGAAGUGCAGGGACGACGUGCUAGCGCAAGGAGUAAUAUUUCUGCAGGGAAGGCUAAUUCAUGGCAGCAACACAUGGCUUCAACUCCAUCUACACGUAUUUCUACUCCAUCAUCUAGUGACAAGGCUCGAGCUGCCCCCACCAAUUCAGUUGCGAAGACGAUUCAAAAGCCUGCUGCGAGUACUUCAUCCGUGGCAUCGACGGGUAGAACAAGCAACAUACAAUGUCAUCGGUGCAAGGGAUAUGGGCACAUGAUGCGUGACUGCCCAAACAAGCGAGUUAUGAUUGUCAGGGAUGAUGGUGAGUACUCAUUUGCUAGUGAUUUUGAUGAGGAUACACUUGCACUGCUUGCGACUGACCAUGCAGGUAAUGAAGAUCAAAUAGAAGAACAUAUUAAUGCAGGUGAAGCGGACCACUAUGAGAGCUUGAUCGUGCAGCGAGUGCUUAGUGCACAAAUGGAGAUGGCGGAACAAAAUCAGCGACACAUUUUAUUCCAAACAAAGUGUGUCAUCAAAGAGCGUUCUUGUCGCAUGAUCAUUGAUGGAGGUAGCUGCAACAACUUGGCAAGCAGCGAUAUGGUGCAGAAGCUUGCCCUCAACACCAAACCACACCCGCAUCCCUACUACAUCCAAUGGCUGAACAACAGUGGUAAGGCAAAGGUAACUAGACUUGUGAGAAUUAAUUUUUCCAUCGGAUCCUACAAAGAUAUUGUUGAAUGUGAUGUUGUGCCUAUGCAAGCUUGUAACAUUCUCCUAGGUAGACCUUGGCAAUUUGAUAGAGAUUCUAUGCAUCAUGGUAGAUCAAAUCAGUAUUCUUUUCUAUACCAUGAUCGCAAAAUUGUGUUGCAUCCUAUGUCCCCUGAAACUAUUAUGCAAACUGAUGUUGCUAGGGCUACUAAAGCAAAGAGCGAGAGCAAUAAAAAUGAUAAAUCUGUAAUUGGUAACAAAGAUGAGAUAAAACUGAAAGGACAUUGUAUGAUAGCUACCAAAUCAGAUAUUAAUGAGUUCAAUGCAUCCACUUCUGUUGCUUAUGCUUUGAUAUGCAAGGAUGCUUUGAUUUCAGUUGAGGAUAUGCAAUGUUCUUUGCCCCCUGCUGUUGCUAACGUUUUGCAGGAGUAUUCUGAUGUGUUUCCAUGUGAGGUACCAGUGGGGCUGCCUCCACUACGCGGGAUUGAGCACCAAAUUGAUCUUAUUCCUGGAGCAGUUUUGCCAAAUCGUGCACCAUACAGGACGAACCCGGAGGAAACAGAGGAAAUUCAGCGACAAGUGCAAGAACUACUAGACAAAGGUUAUGCCCGAGAAUCUCUUAGUCCUUGUGCUGUUCUAGUAAUUUUAGUGUCUAAGAAAGAUGGAACAUGGCGUAUGUGUGUUGAUUGUAGAGCUAUUAAUAAUAUCACCAUUCGAUAUCGACACCCUAUUCCACGAUUAGAUGAUAUGCUAGAUGAACUGAGUGGUGCUGUUGUGUUUUCAAAAGUUGAUUUACGUAGUGGGUACCACCAGAUUCGUAUGAAAUUGGGAGAUAAAGGUAGAAAGCAAUUGAUUCUGGAACCUGGGGAUUUGGUUUGGGUGCAUUUGCGAAAAGAUAGAUUUCCAGAACUGAGAAAAUCCAAAUUGAUGCCUAGAGCUGAUGGUCCUUUUAAAGUGCUGCAACGAAUUAAUGAGAAUGCAUAUAAUCUUGAUCUUCCUGCAGAUUUUGGGGUUAGUCUCACAUUUAACAUUGCAGAUUUGAAGCCUUAUUUGGGUGAGGAAGAUGAGCUUGAGUCGAGGACGACUCAAAUGCAAGAAAGGGAAGAUGAUGAGGACAUCAACACCAGCGAUACAUCCUCUCCGACACAACCUAUAGCUGGUCCUACAUCUCCGACACAACCUAUAGCUGGUCCUACAUCCGUCAACUCAACCUUCAAGUAAGUUCUGUUUUAAACUCUUGUCAAUCAUAUUUAGACAAUGGAGACACGUGCACUUUCGUGUUGCUCAGGAAUAAUGGACAAGAUCAGCAAGGGAAGGUUCAACUGCAUUCAGAAUUUGAGGCAACACCAACUUCAAGGGCUGAUUGCAUAUGGGAAGAGUGAUAACUUAACAAAGGUGAUUGGAGAUCAGGUCCAAGCCUCCACAACAUCCUCUAUCAAGUUACCACGUCGCUUCUAAAGCAAGGAAACAAAGAGUCCAAACCCAACACGUUUUGGGAGUUGGAUUCGGACUGGAAAAUAACUCUAACUUGUAUGGGUCACCACGGCGUCAUAUGGACUCCAACUGGGACGUUCCUAUACUUGUUGGAAAGCUCAUGAAGUCUACUUUCCAAUGGGUCCAACCACAUAUCUAUGCAGCUUAUGAGUCGGGCGCAGUCCUUGUUUUCGUGCCGACACCUUUUUCUGUUUUGGUGCUGCGUCACCCUAUUUUGGACCAAUGGCCCAUGUAUCAAGUUGAGUCCAUUAGGGACGCGUCCUAGGGUUGGAGGACGACUCUAGCACCCCUUUGGUCGUCCUCCCCUCUAUUUAUUUACAUCUAGAGCCGCCAUGAACAACUGGGUUUUGUUUAGAUCAAGUUUAGCCUUCGCUACUUGCUUGUAGGCGCGCGUGCAGGAUCAGCCGCCCGUCUCCUUGUCUUCGGAACCCCAUUGUUGAUUCAGAUUCAGUUUGGAACCUUCAAUUCAUCUUGCAAAUUCAGUGCUUCUUUCCUCGUUCUUGCUAGUUCUUCGAUUGCUUGCAGGACGGGAGCCCUAGGGGCUGGUUGUCGCGCUCCGCAAGAUCGUCACGGCUGUUGGACGUGGUGUAUCGGUUGCU
rnacentral:lncRNA from 1 species